rnacentral:rRNA from 1 species
UAACGCGUGGAUAACCUGCCUCGCACUGGGGGAUAACAGUUAGAAAUGACUGCUAAUACCGCAUAAGCGCACAGCACCGCAUGGUACAGUGUGAAAAACUCCGGUGGUGUGAGAUGGAUCCGCGUCUGAUUAGCCAGUUGGCGGGGUAACGGCCCACCAAAGCGACGAUCAGUAGCCGACCUGAGAGGGUGACCGGCCACAUUGGGACUGAGACACGGCCCAA